UGAGGAACAUGACCUUCGGCGGGGGAUAGCCGGCCCAACGGCCGGGUAGUACCGCGUACGACCACUCGGGGACAUCCCUAGGUGGUGAAAGCAGCAAUGCGCCGAUGGAGUGCCUCGCGGCCUAUCAGCUAGUUGGUGAGGUAACGGCUCACCAAGGCGACGACGGGUAGCUGGUCUGAGAGGAUGGCCAGCCACAUUGGGACUGAGACACGGCCCAGACUCCUACGGGAGCAG
rnacentral:rRNA from 1 species